ensembl:misc_RNA Metazoa_SRP Metazoan signal recognition particle RNA
GCUGGGCACGGUGGCGGGCGCCUGUAAUCCCAGCUACUCGGGAGACUGAGGCAGGAGAAUUGCUUGAACCCAGGAGGUGGAGUUUGCAGUGAGCCAAGAUCGUGCCACUGCACUCUAGCCUGGGUGACAGAGCAAGACCUUGCCUCAA